rnacentral:tRNA from 1 species
GAUGAGAUGACUGAGAAGGUAAGGUGGUAGUUUGCUAAAUUACUAAAGUUUAGGCUUUGCAUGGGUUCGAGUCCCAUUCUUAUCG